CCUGCCAGUAGGGAACAGCCCGGCGAAAGUCGGAUUAAUGCCCUAUGUUCUUCAAUGCGGACAUCUAAGUUGAAGGAAAGAUUUAUCGCUGGCAGAUGGGGAUGCGUCCGAUUAGCUUGUUGGCGGGUAACGGCCCACCAAGGCGACGAUCGGUAGGGGUUCUGAGAGGAAGGUCCCCCACACUGGUACUGAGACACGGACCAGACUCCUACGGGAGGCAGCAGUGAGGAAUAUUGGUCAAUGGGCGAGAGCCUGAACCAGCCAAGUAGCGUGCAAGGAGGACGGCCCUACGGGUUGUAGACUGCUUUUAUGCGGGGAUAAAGUGCGGCACGUGUGCCGUUUUGCAGGUACCGCAUGAAUAAGGACCGGCUAAUUCCGUGCCAGCCGCAGC
rnacentral:rRNA from 1 species